UACGAGGGGGGCGAGCGUUGUUCGGAAUUAUUGGGCGUAAAGGGUGCGUAGGCGGUUUGGCAAGUCUGGUGUGAAAUCUAUGGGCUCAACUCAUAGUCUGCAUCGGAAACUGCCGGGCUUGAGUGUGGGAGAGGUGAGUGGAAUUCCUGGUGUAGCGGUGAAAUGCGUAGAUAUCAGGAGGAACACCGGUGGCGAAGGCGGGUCUCUGGGCCGUAACUGACGCUGAGGAGCGAAAGCGUGGGGAGCGAACAGG
rnacentral:rRNA from 1 species